GAAAACUGUAGCGAAACGAAAACGUGUUGCGAGAGAAGAAUAUACCACAAAUACAGGAGAAAUACAUCCAGGUCGAAGAACAGGCCGUAACAGCAAGUGCAGAAGAAAAUGUUGUGAUGUGUUGAUGAUGAAGAAAAGGCAGCUGUUUUAUGUAAUUUCAAUGGUUUAGCUGUGAAAAAUAAGCAAGAUUUUUAUGUCUGUGGUCUGAUGUCUCCUAUGGUUGUUUUUCGUCAAAGGCUCCGCAUGGACAAAUGUUCCCAGAAAACCUUUACAAUGAAAUAUAAUCAUGACUUGAUGCUCCCAGGAGAUGCCGAACAUGCAAAGUGGAAGAGGCUGCACUGUAGAGAAUCCGUCAACAGGUACACAAAUGAUAGUCUGCUGAAGAUCUUUCCAUUGGAAUGCAGAACCUCACCCUGAAUUACAAAAGCAGGCAAAGUCCUGUGUGCAAAUUAUUUUUGUGUUACAUUGUGCUUAUGCAGAUAAUUUACUUGAAACUAAUUCAUAUUGUUAGCAACAAACACAGUAAAGAAGGGAAAAACAUACAAUGGGAAGUGAGUGCAAGAAUUCAAAGAUUUUUGAAUAGUCUUCUGCAAGAUGUUUGGUUUUCUAAUGACCAUAUUCAUUAUCAUGAAAUGAGAAGUAGGCCUAACAAUGACUCUUUUGUAGGGAAAUGUUUAUGGCAACCUUGUGUCAGAAAAGGUGCUAUAUUAACAGAAACUUUAAUUCAACUCUUUGCAACAAAGAUUUAGAAUAGAAUUACAACAUGUAUUGAAACAGUUUCCAAAUCAUUUAUGAAUAUACAAAUAAUUGACAGUAAGUUAGAAGUAUUCAGCUCAGUACAGACAUCUGUACAAAUUUUCUGUGCAUAACUUACGUAUCAGUAUUAAGAUUGUUUCAUAAUUUCAUAUUUAUUAGCACAGUUUAUAAAAUAUUUGCUAAUACCAUUCCAUUUAUCUAAACUCAGCAUCCCAUGCUGAUGGCACAGUGAUGGGAUCCCAACCCACUGUCAGACACCCCAAAGUAACACCAACACCUGAGUGAGGUUUAAGAAUAUAAGGUAUCUGUAUAUGAUGAUAAUUGUAAUAAUAUAGUAUAAUUGUGUGUAAAAAUAAUCCAUAAAUUUAGUGUAUUAAAAUAUCUGUGUGUAUUAACUACGUUGGUGUCCAAAUUUAAAGCAACUAACUGCUAUUACCUUGUCCUGUAUCUGAUUCACUGUAACCAUACAAACUGUCAACAAGCAUCUGGACAGUUGUGUUGUGCAUGGAAAACGGCAUUUCAGUCAACAGACAACCAUGACAACAAUUAUUACAGGGCAUCUUUCAAAUGGGGUAGUGUUUGCCAGGUAGUCCCAGAUCCACAUUCGCUGGGUACACAGUCAGAGACAGUGCAGUAUGGUACAGAGAAGGUGUCUACCAGACACUUUGCAGUGGAGGGCCGUAGGAAAAAUGGGAACUGGACAAUCGCAAACUGAUGUGGCCCGAUGGCUUAAUGUGAGUUGUUCUAUUGUUUCUCAGAUGUGGUGACAGUUUAUAUAGAGACUGACACUGUAUCCCAAAGACCAGAGCAGGGCCGGCCAUGUAUGAAAUCAGAAAGAGAGGACUGUUAUUUGGCUGUAAGGGUAUGAUGGUACCACCUUAGUACUGCAUGGCAGUUGGCAUCUGGCCUUGCAGCAUCCACAGGACAUGUAUCAAGGACAUGUUGUAUCAAGGCAAACUGUGUUCAGAAGGCAUUGGCAGAAGGGCCGUUACGUCAGAGACCUGCUGUAUGUGUACCUCUGUUGCAUCUUCACAGAAGGGGACAUCUAGAGUGGAAUCAACAUACCACCUGGAUAGUUGAAUAGUGGGCCAGUGCUCUUUUCACCAAUGAAUCCCAA
rnacentral:lncRNA from 1 species